rnacentral:ncRNA from 1 species
ACAGUUGGUGCCGCAGGCUACGGCUUGCGGAGAAUAGGGAAACAGGUGAGAAGCCUGUGCGAUCUCGUCACUGUAUACAGGAAUGUAUCGCAAAAUAUGUCACUGAGAAAUUGGGAAGGCUGCGAUACGUGUUUUAAUCUGUGAGCCAGGAGACCUGCCAGCUGUG